rnacentral:rRNA from 1 species
AGUCCGGAAAUUCAAAGUUGUUGCGGUUUAAGCUCCUCGUGCAGUUUGUGGCUGUUCAUGCCUCUCCCCCUGCUCCCAUGACUCCUGCAUCUGAUGCUGGCAAGCUUGAUCGUCUUUAGGGGAUGGCUAUCCAAGUGUCAAUUUAACAUCAUAAAAAAUCAGUGUGACAGGGGGUUUGACCGGAAUGCAUUAGCCUGGAAUUGUAGAAUAUGACUGAAGUCGAUUUAUUGGUUUGAGGCUUUUAUAAUGAUUAAUAGGAACAGUCGGGGGGUUUGGUACUUGGCAGUCACAGGUGAAAUUCGAGGAUUUGUCAAAGACUAACAAAUGCCAACGCAUUUGCCAAGGAUGUUUUCAUUAAUCAAGAAUGACUUUAGGGGAUCAAAGACGAUCAGUUACCGUCCUUGUCAUAACUACAACUAUACCGACUCUGAUUCACAUGAUCAUAUAGUUCUUUGGGACCGUAGCAGAGAUCACAGCUUUUGGGUCCGGGGGAAAAUCUGGUCGCAAGGGGU